AGGGCGCACGGUGGAUGCCUUGGCGUAGGUUGCCGACGAAGGACGUGAAUCACUGCGAUAAGCCUCGGGGAGUCGUGAUUAGACAUUAUAUCCGGGGAUGUCCGAAUGGGGAAACCCGCCAGAUGCUGAGUCUGGUACGGCCUGGUGAAUACAUAGCCAGGUACGAGGGAACCGCCCGAACUGAAACAUCUAAGUAGGGCGAGGAAAAGAGAGUAUUCCGAAAGUAGUGGCGAGCGAAAUCGGAGAAGGCCAAACCUGCUUCUUCGGAAGCAGGGGUUGUAGGACCCCACAAAAUUGACUGCUAGUCUAGCCGAACCGUUCAGGAAAGCCGGACCACAGAGCGUGAUAGUCGCGUAGGCGAAAGGCGAUGCAGCAAUGGGAAAAUCCUGAGUAGCACCCGGCACGUGAAAUCGGGUGUGAAUCCGCGGAGACCACUCCGCAAGCCUAAAUACAACCACGACCGAUAGUGAACAAGUACCGUGAGGGAAAGGUGGGAAGCACCCCGACGAGGGGAGUAGCAGUACCUGAAACCGUGCGCUUACAAGCAGUCGGAGGACUAUGUCGCAAGACAGUCUGACGGCGUGCCUCUUGGAGAAUGAGUCGGCGACUUACCGUUUGUCGCAAGGUUAAGGCAGUUACAGCCGGAGCCGUAGGGAAACCGAGUCUGAUAAGGGCGACAACAGUGGCAGGCGGUAGACCCGAAACGAGGUGAGCUACCCAUGACCAGAGUGAAGCGAGAGUAACAUCUCGUGGAGGCUCGAACCCAUUAGUGCUGCAAAACUAUGGGAUGAGUUGUGGGUAGAGGUGAUAUGCCAAUCGAACUUCGAGAUAGCUGGUUCUCCCCGAAAUAACUUUAGGGUUAGCCUCGAUUGUUUAGUGACAGAGGUAAAGCACUGAAUGGGCUAGGGGGCGUAAGCCUACCAAACCCAAUCAAACUCUGAAUGCUGUCACUCCAAGAUCGGGAGUCGGGCUACGAGUUAUGAGAUCCGUGGCCGAGAGGGUAACAACCCAGACCGACAUCUAAGGUCCUCAAGUGUGUGCUAAGUGGGAAACGAUGUGAAAUUGUUCAGACAGCGAGGAGGUUGGCUUAGAAGCAGCCAUCCUUUAAACAGUGCGUAAUAGCUGACUCGUCGAACGAUUUUGCGCGGAAAAUUCAACGGGGCUAAGCACGCCACCGAAGAUACGGAAUCGAGAGAUUAGUAGGGGAGCGUUCCAGGAACAGCGAAGCCAUACCGAAAGGAGUGGUGGAGUGACUGGAAGUGAGAAUGCCGACACGAGUAGCGUAAAUUGCGUGAGAACCGCAAUCGCCGUAUGCCUAAGGUUUCCGAUGCAAGGUCAAUCCGCAUCGGGUUAGUCGGGCCUAAGCCGAGGCAGAAAUGCGUAGGUGAUGGACAAUCGGUCAACAUUCCGAUACCAGGGCAGGAGAGCUAGGAAGGGACGCAGAAUGGUAGCUGAGCCGGACCAAUGGUAAUGCCGGUCGAAGCGCGUAGGGAAAUGACGAGGGUAGGCAAGUCCGCUCUUUGAUCCUGAAACGUAAGCGAGGUCCCCAAGCCGAAGUCAGCAAGCCAAUCUGCCGAGAAAAACUUCUAUGCGUUGAACCUGUUCUGCCCGUACCGCAAACCGACACUGGUAGGCGAGGAGAGUAUCCUCAGGCGAACGAGAGAACCUUCGUUAAGGAAUUAGGCAACAUGUACCCGUAACUUAGGGAGAAGGGUAGCCCGCGGUGAUGUUGUCAUACGAUGAUGUCAUUGUGGGUCGCAGAUGAGAGGCUCUAGCGACUGGUUAACUAAACCACAGGUCUCUGCGAAGCCGUAAGGCGACGUAUAGGGGCUGACACUUGCCCAGUGCUGGAAGGUUAAAGGGAGAGGUUAGCGCAAGCGAAGCUUUGAACUGAAGCCCCAGUGAACGGCGGCGGUAACUAUAACCGUCCUAAGGUAGCGAAAUUCCUUGUCAGGUAAGUUCUGACCCGCACGAAUAGUGUAACGACUGGAGCACUGUCUCAACGAGGGACUCGGCGAAACUGAAUUAAUGGUGAAGAUGCCAUUUACCCGCGCCCGGACAAAAAGACCCCGUGGAGCUUUACUGUACCUUGGCAUUGCGCUAGGGCUUUGACUGUGUAGCAUAGGUGGGAGGCUUAGAAGCUGGUGCGCUAGCAUCGGUGGAGCCGUCAGUGAAAUACCACCCUGUUGGAGUUUUGGCCCUAACCGUACUCCGUAAUCCGGAGACGAGACAGUGCCAGGCGGGCAGUUUGACUGGGGCGGUCGCCUCCUAAAAUGUAACGGAGGCGCCCAAAGGUUCC
rnacentral:rRNA from 1 species